rnacentral:rRNA from 1 species
AUUGAACGCUGGCGGCAGGCCUAACACAUGCAAGUCGAACGGUAACAGAAAGCAGCUUGCUGCUUUGCUGACGAGUGGCGGACGGGUGAGUAAUGUCUGGGAAACUGCCUGAUGGAGGGGGAUAACUACUGGAAACGGUAGCUAAUACCGCAUAACGUCGCAAGACCAAAGAGGGGGACCUUCGGGCCUCUUGCCAUCGGAUUUGCCCAGGUGGGAUUAGCUUGUUGGUGGGGUAACGGCUCACCAAGGCGACGAUCCCUAGCUGGUCUGAGAGGAUGACCAGCCACACUGGAACUGAGACACGGUCCAGACUCCUACGGGAGGCAGCAGUGGGGAAUAUUGCACAAUGGGCGCAAGCCUGAUGCAGCCAUGCCGCGUGUAUGAAGAAGGCCUUCGGGUUGUAAAGUACUUUCAGCGGGGAGGAAGGGAGUAAAGUUAAUACCUUUGCUCAUUGACGUUACCCGCAGAAGAAGCACCGGCUAACUCCGUG